rnacentral:rRNA from 1 species
GGGUGAGUAACACGUGGGUAACCUGCCCAUCAGAAGGGGAUAGCGACUUGGAAACAGGUGCUAAUACCGUAUAACACUAUUUUCCGCAUGGAAGAAAGUUGAAAGGCGCUUUUGCGUCACUGAUGGAUGGACCCGCGGUGCAUUAGCUAGUUGGUGAGGUAACGGCUCACCAAGGCAACGAUGCAUAGCCGACCUGAGAGGGUGAUCGGCCACACUGGGACUGAGACACGGCCCAGACUCCUACGGGAGGCAGCAGUAGGGAAUCUUCGGCAAUGGACGAAAGUCUGACCGAGCAACGCCGCGUGAGUGAAGAAGGUUUUCGGAUCGUAAAACUCUGUUGUUAGAGAAGAACAAGGAUGAGAGUAAAAUGUUCAUCCCUUGACGGUAUCUAACCAGAAAGCCACGGCUAACUACGUGCCAGCAGCCGCGGUAAUACGUAGGUGGCAAGCGUUGUCCGGAUUUAUUGGGCGUAAAGCGAGCGCAGGCGGUUUCUUAAGUCUGAUGUG